UGUGAGGUCUAUCCCGAUGGUGCUUUGAUGUAAGUUCAUAUCGUUGGAAACGCCUCAUAGAGUAACCCUUGUAGCUUUGAAUUACCUGCUAUAACCUUUAGUGGGGUAAAAUCUGCAUAACAAUU
ensembl:snoRNA